rnacentral:rRNA from 1 species
GACGAACGCUGGCGGCGUGCUUCACACAUGCAAGUCGAACGGGGUCCAUCCAGUGGCAACACUGGUGAAGACCUAGUGGCGAACGGGUGCGUAACACGUGAGGAACCUACCCCGAUCUCAGGAAUAACAGUGGGAAACCAUUGCUAAUACCGGAUGCCUUCCCCAGGUCGCAUGGCUUGGCGAAGAAAGGGUUACCGGAUCGGGACGGCCUCGCGGCCUAUCAGCUUGUUGGCGGGGUAACGGCCCACCAAGGCGUCGACGGGUAGCUGGUCUGAGAGGAUGAUCAGCCACACUGGGACUGAGACACGGCCCAGACUCCUACGGGAGGCAGCAGUGGGGAAUCUUGCGCAAUGGGCGAAAGCCUGACGCAGCAACGCCGCGUGGGGGAUGACGGCCCUCGGGUUGUAAACCCCUUUCAGCAGGAACGAAUCUGACGGUACCUGCAGAAGAAGGCCCGGCCAACUACGUGCCAGCCGCCGCGGUAAAAC